UAAUAAGUCUUAAAACGAGGUAGUGUGUGUCCUCCAAGUUUGCUCUUUUUCAAAGUUGUUUUGGCUAUUCCAGAUCCUUUUGCAUUUACAUAUAAAUAAUUGAAAUCAGAUUGACAAUUUCCACACACAUACAAAAAAGCCUGAUGGAUAUAAUUAGGAUUGCAUUGAAUCUACAGACCGAUUUGAGGAUAAUUAGCAAUAAUACAGAGUCUGCUGGUUCAUGAACAUGAGAUAUUUCUCUUUUUAUUUACAUCUUCAUUUCUCUCAGCAAUGUUUUGUAAAUUUUCAAUGUUUGGGUCUUGAAUUUUUUGACAAAUUUAUUCAUAAUAUUUCAUAUUUUGAUGAAUUGUAUAGUCUUACUUUUUUAAAUAUAAAAAUUUAAGUCUUUGUUCCUAGUAUACACACAAUUUCUGUAUUUCUAGUAUAUAGAAAUACAAUUGAUUUUUGUGUAUUGACCUUGUGUCUUUGUUAAACUCCCUAUUAUUUCUAGUAAUUUUUUGUAGGAGCUAUAAGAUUUUCUACAUAGAUGAUCACAUCUUCUGUGACUAAAGAAGUUUUCCUUCUUCCUUUCUAAUCUGUAAGCAUGUAAUUUCUUUUUCUUGCCUUAUUGCACUGGCUAGAGCCUUCAGUAUAAUGUUGAAUAGUAAUGAUAGAGAGAAUAUCCAUGCCUUAUUCUUAAUUGUAGGAGGAAAGCAUUCAAUCUUUCACCAUUAAUGAUUAAUAAUGACACUAGCUGAAUAAUUUUUGUAGAUGCCUUUUAUCAGGUUGAGAAAAUUUCCUCCCAUCCUUAGUUUGCUGAGAACAAUUUUUGUUAUAAAUGGAGACCAGAUUGUAUAAAAAAUAUUUUUCAUUUAUUAAGAUGAUCAUAUAUUUUUCUUUUUUUAGUCUAUUAAUAUGCUGAAUUACACUGAUUGGUUUUUAAAUAUUAAACCAACCUUACACUCCUUACACUCCAAGUGGAUAAACUCCACUUGGCCAUGAUGUAUCAACCUUUCAAUAUAUUGUUGGAUUCCACUGGAUAACAUUUGGUUAAGAAUUUUGUAUCUAUGACUAUUGUGACAAACCAUUCCCUAUCUUGUGUGAGUCCAGGCGUCACUCCCGCGCUCCUUUCUGGUGGCUUUUCUGCAGCCUUAGGUAAUCUCCUCUCACACAGGCAUUGAUCAGUGCUCAGCUGAAGGCACAAGGGAGGCCAUCUGCAAAUUGCCGGAACUUUCUCUGUGGGCAGCUUUCCCUUCUUGGAUCCUCUGCCCUCUGAAAGCUAGCGCCAUGGCUCCCUGGACUUUCACUCUGUUUCUUCAACUCAGGGAGGGUAGGCUCCACCUUGGUGCCCUCCUGCCCUGCAGCCUCUCCCCAGGCUGGCAGCUGGGCAAUCCAACAUGCUCGCCUUUGAGUCUCCUCCCUCGGGGGCCACUGUCUGAGCUGCCUGGUCCUCAAUGUCUGAAAUUCAUUGUUUCCUGUAUUUUGUCUGGCUUGUUGUUUCAUCUGGGAAGGUUAAUCUGGCCCCUGCUAUUCCAUCUUGGGAAGGAGAUUACGUUUGUUUUUAGAUAGUUGUGAUCAUCUGGCCAUCUAAUUUUAUAUCCUGCUCUUCUCACUCAACAUUUUCAAAUAAGCAUUUUUAUGCUUUUUAUGCUUUUAAACUUUUCAUAGAUGUCACUUAGAGGAAUGUGAAAUGCUCUGUCAAGGCUGGGGCCAAGUGUCAUCGAUCUUGCUCCAUGUCAGGAUAGUCCCCCUUCCAGCCAAGUCAAAGGAGGUCGGCCCUCCCCACGCAGGGGCUCUGUCCUCCCUCUCACGCUCUUCCUGUCACUCUCAGACUUCCUCAGCAGAAGACGUUUUGUACCACGCACUUCAAUGAGGUGGUGAUUAAGGACUGCAGAAGAAGCGUUUUUCAAUUUAAACCUAUUUUUUUCUUGAAUGGAGCAGGUGUCUCAAAGUCACAGUUACAGGAAUGAAAGAAUCACAUUAUUCACAAUUUGCCUGUAAUUAAACUCCUCCACUUUCUGAAUGAGGGCCUGUGCCCAAAAUCGUAAUAACUACAGCUCCCACUUGAGGAGCCCUUACUGUCUUUGUAUCAGGCACCAUCUUGAGCACUGGAGCCAGACUGUGGUUUGCUCCAGAUACUGGUGAACCUCAACAAGGCCUCUCUCUUGAGCCCAGAGCAAGCCAAGUCCUGUUGUUAGCUGCACUCCUGCUCCAACUGAGCUUCCUUUCCUCCAGCUCUGGGAGAGAUCUGGAGGAGGCUUGGCGUUAAAUGCUUAAUCCUCGCAAAAACCCUGUGAGGGACAGAUAGGGAAAUUAGGGCUCAGAGAGGUGAAUUAACUUGAUCAAGGGCACACAGCAAGUUGGUGGUGCUGCUGGGAUUCUAAUCUGGACAGUCUGACUAUGCUGGAACCAUUUCUUCUAACCACUGGGAUUUGCUUGGCUAAUAGAAGCCCAUUCACCCUUCUCUCUGCAAGAAGCCCAAGGGAGCCGGGUGGCUGAGAUAGCCUACAGGUGCCAAGCCCCAAGGAACACUUCAGUCCUGGGACUGACCACGGAGUGUCUGAGCAUACUGAAAGCCAAGAGUGACACAGAGGCCACGCUUCCGUCCUGGAGGGAGUGGAGUAGGCCCUCUGCCCAGCACAGGUCUCUCCUGCCCUCAGGCCCACACCCCUGCCCCCAAGUCCCAGUGCCCUUUUCCUGCCCCGACCUCUGAAAGAACCACAAAUUCUUUAGUGAGAUCAGUCACUGUCCUGCCCACCAACAUUGCCAGCAUGUUGCAUUACAGUAUUCUCUUCUGGAAUUCUCUGGUUAUCAUUCUUCUAACUUUACCAAUAAGGAAACCAAGACCGGGGAGCGGGGGGUAAUUCAUCCAAAGAAAGUGAUGGAGACAGGAUUUGAACUGAGGUCUGCUAAGGAUUCUGUUAUACUCAGCUGGUGGCAAAGUUAUUUUAAUUGACUGCAAGUCCUCUUGUCUCUUAUCUCAUUUGUGAAUCUACAAGUACUAACUGAGCAAGUGGAAAACAGAAGGUGCUGUGUCCCUCCUGGGGGUUGUGAAGGAUCAAGCAGAUAACGGAUAUUGCAUUCUUAAUCCAAGGCAGCCCUGACCACACAAAUUGAUUCUGAAGCUUCCUCUAAACCAUGCUGUGGAUUAAUUACGGUGUGGACCAGUUAGGGUCCUUGGUUAAGGGCCACAAAAGCAGACGUAACCAACUUAAGCAGGGAAAGUGCUUCCAGUUGAAAGGAUAUUGGUUUGAGCCAAGGGUGGCCAGGCCACUGAGGACUCAGCCACCACUGUACCUUUGAACCAGCCACUUAUGGUGGCCCUGCCUGGCAGCCCCGCACCAUGGCAGCAAGUCACACAGAAGACUCGGCUCCCUCUGCGAGACUGCCAUUGUCACCAUCACAAAUAACGGCAACAAGUGAUCUUUGCAGAACCCUCAUGGGGCCCAGGCAUGUGCUAAAGGCUUCUUCUGUUUUAACUCAUUUUAUAGAUGAGGGAACUGAGGCAUAAAAGGCAAAACAAGUUGGCCAAGAUUCCAGCCGGUAAGUGGGAAAGCCAGGAUUCCACCCGCUGGCUCAUUCUGGAGCCCAUGUUCUUAACCUCCACGGUUUACUUUCUUGCCAUCACCUCAUAUGGUCCUUUCUUCCGGAGCCAAGGUCCCAGCAUGGUUCCCAGCUGAACCCAUGUCCCAGAUUUCAGGGAGAAGAGGGGAGACCACUUGUUCUGUUUUGUGUUUUUGUUUUUGAGACAGAGUCUCGUACUGUCACCCAGGCUGGAGUGCAGUGGCACGAUCUUGGCUCACUGCAACCUCCACCUCCCAGGUUCAAGCAUUUCUCAUGCCUCAGCCUCCCGAGUAGCUAGGAUUACAGGCAUGCACCACCAAGCCCAGCUAAUUUUUGUAUUUUGUGUACAGAUGGGGUUUCACCAUGUUGGCCAGGUUGGUCUCGAACUCCUGGCCUCAAGUGAUCCGCCUGCCUUGACCUCCCAAAGUGCUGGAAUUACAGGUGUGAGCCACUGCACCCGGCCAAAAGGAGAGCACCUGUUCUGCCUCAAUUUCUACAGUGGGAGGUAUGGCCCUGCAUCUCAACUCUUUUGAAAUGCCUCCGCAGAUGGAAGGGGACUCAGAUAUUGGGCACUCAAUAGCCUCAAGUGCCCCCACAGGACUGAAGUGACCCCUAAUCAGGACCAUUUGCCAGGUCCAGCCCUCAAAACCUUAGGCUCCCAGUGGGGAAUCUCAGAUACACAGUCUUUGGGGUCCUUAGCAAAUAGGGUCAUUCAUGGGCUCCAGGGUAGAAGAGCUAACUUGUGGCAUGGGCUGGUGAUCCUUCAUGGGAAAAGCUGGGCUGGGGUCCCCCAAAUGCCUGGAGGUCAUGUGCAUACAGCCUGGGAAGCCACAUUUCCCAAGAGGGUGUCGGCAGCCCUUGACCCCAGAGCUGGCAUCUCUCACCCCAUUUUCCCAAGAGACACAGCAGCUGCUUCCCCAUCUCUGGAGGUGCAUCUCAAGGAGAGCGAGCCGCUAUCUUUGUUUGGCAUUUUUCGAUGUCAGCAGUAGAGAAGCAAAAUCAGCCCAAAGGGCUGUUUAAUUGCAAUAUAAAAAAUCAUGCUUUUUCAAGGGAAAAAAGGAGAGUUCUCCACCCCAUCGGUUUCCAGUGCAAUACCGUAUCUGCUGAUUCUGCCUCAUUCAAAUCCAAACAAGUACAUUCAUCAUCCCAAAAAGUGCCAUUCAAGCGGCUGCUCUCCGCAGGGCCAUAUUUUGCCUCAAAUGUUCCCUAGCUCAAUUAAGCCUGGUGCAAGCUACUGAACUCCUAGAGGAGUGGGUGCCAAGGGGGAGAGGCUCCAACAGUGCCUUGGAAAAUGCUUUCUUGCUCCUCUCGUUCUCCCACGGUGGAAGAAUCAUCAGCAGGAGCCCUGGAUGAAGUCAGGAGUCCCAUCCCAGAAGAAUGCCAGCUGUGACCCGGGCAUGCCCCUUCCCCUCUUGAGGCCUCAGUUCCCUAUCUGUAAAGGCAGAAGCUUGGGCUGGAUCAGGGAUGGCAAGUAGGUGAAACGUGCACCCCCGUUCUCGCUUCCUUGCUCAUGCCAACAUCCCUAAUUACUCAGGGCUUUAUUUACUGAGCCCAGAUCCGAUCGCAGAAUCCUUCUCAACACAGCACUCCAGGCCACCAGCACUUGAGAUGAAGUGUGCUACCAUCCUGGGCUCCAUGUGUCUCCUGGGUUCUUUCGAAGUCACACGCUUGAACCUUGGCAGCAGUGAUAACAGCCAACAGACCCUCACUGUGUGCAUCCUGUGGGCCAGACAGCAUUCUGUGUGCUUUGCCUAAGUGAGUAUUUAACACACCCAGCAACCUCAUUACUAAUGUCUGCACUUUAUGGAUGAGGCCGAGGUUACACAGAUGGUUAGUAGAGGAGUUGGGAUUCAGAUUCAGGCCGUCUGGCUCCAGAUUUGGAGCUCUUAACCCCUCACUAGGGUGGACACAAGUCAAUCAACACAAAAACCAGCCUCUGGGCAGCAUCAGGGGCUACACCUGGGUCAUCUUUAUGUCCCCAUCACUCUGUACUCAGGCAACGUUUGUUGAAUAGCAAAUGAAUAAAUGAAUGAGAUGAAAAUUAGACACUGGGAACAGCACAAUCAUAAUGAUAUUAAUAACUAAUGGCUGCUGUUCAUUGAGUGCAAACUCUGUGCCAGAUGUGACACUGUCUCACUUGGGAGGAGCUCAAUAAAUAUUCGUUGAAAAUGACGAUCCUAAUACUUUCCCUUGGUGUCCCUCCCCAACUCCCACCCCACCUCUGCUCCUGUCUCCUGGCCAAGGACCAACAACCAGGAAGGAAACAGUCCAACCACGCUCAGCAGAGGCUUGUCAAUUUUUUUAACUGUGACACACAGAAAGGAAUUUGUUUUAUACACACACCUUGAAACAACAGUCCCACAAAACAAUAUUUACCCUUCCUAAUUGCAAAGUAUUGUGAUCAAUUUCUAGUCUAUCAUAUCAAAAGAAAACCCUAGUGGUGAUGCACUAAGUCGAUUUCUGGGUUCAGUAGUGGGUUAUGUGAUUUGAAAAACAUCACGCGAAGGUCAGGCACUAAUAAGAGUUGGUAUCGAGUGCUUACUACCAACUGUGCAGUUAGUCAUCCAUUUGACUCAUACAAUGGCCCGGUAGUUAGGUCAUUACUAUCCCUAUUUUUCAGAUGAGGGAAUUGAGACCAGAGAGCUUGAGUUACUUAGUGGUCCAUUCUCAAUCUAUCAGUCAACUAUUGCAGCAGAACAAACAACUUCAAAAUCUCAGUGGUGCAAAUCAAUAAACAUUUUUUUCUCACUCCCAAAUUUGUGGGUUGGCUGGAGUAGCUCUGCAUUCCAUGUCUCUCAUCCUCAUCCUGAGACCAGCAGGCCAUCCAGGACAUCUUCUUUCCCCAGCAACAGCAGAGACACAGAACAAGCCUCACAGCAAAGCACAUUUCAAGCCCUGCUGCAUCACACUUGCCACCCCCAAGUCCCAGGGAUGCACUGUUGCACUUUUAAUUAAGCAAUUUGGGCUCUUCAGAAGAAGAGAAAAGACACAGAUCUACGCGUAACAGCACAGCAGCACUACAUAUUUCAUUCUGACUGCUUUUGGAGUACGGAGUCAAAUGAAAACAGCAUUUAAAAGUCAUCCAUUCGCUUGAGUCCAGGAGUUUGAGACCAACCUGGGCAACAUAGUGAGACCUUGUCUCUACAAAAAAAGUAGCUGGAUGUGGUGGGGCAUGCCUGUAGUCCCAGCUACUCAGGAGGCUGAGGUGGAAGGGUCACUCGAGCCUGGAAGGUCCAGGCUGCAGUGAGCCAAAAUCGUGCCAUGACACUCCAGCCCGCGUGACAGAGCAAGACUUUGUCUCUAAACAAACAAACAAACAAAAAAUGUCAUCCAUUUACAUACUCUAUGGUAAGACUUACAGUUCUUUGUUUCUGUGCUUCCAGUGAACUUAUUCCUUUAAGAAGGAGGGAAGGGAAGAAGUAGAAGAGGGAAGGAAGGAAGGAAGGAAGGGAGGGAGGGAGGAAGGGCGAGAGGGAGGGAGGGAGGAAGGAAGGAAAGAAGGAAGGAAGGAAGGAAGGAAGGGGCUGGGGGAGGGAGAGAAAAUCCACAGGGUAGAUAUGUGGGUGAAUGGCCUCCCAUCUCUGAGCUGAAUUUCUUCACCUUUAAAAUGAUGAUACAGAUGAAUACAUUCUUAACAUGCCGUUGAAUGACAAAAUUAGGUUACAGCCCAGCACAUAAAGGAGUGCCUCAUUUUUGCAGCUUUGUAUUUGUAUAAUAUAUAUGCACGUGCAUACAUGUUUAGGUGCAUAGAGAAGUCUCUGAAAAAGGUUCACCCAAGUCUUACCAGUGAUUCCCUCACAGUGGUGGGAUCUGGAGUGAUUUUUGUUUGCUCUGUGUAAUUGCGCUGUUCUGCGUGAAUGUUUUUAUCAGGAAAAUUCAUUACGUAGAUCAUCAGAGAAAGCAACAAGGACAGUCAUAGUUUGCUAAACAAAACCAAUAUCACCAGUGCUGGUGCCCUGUUCCCUGUGCCUUCUGCUGGAGGCAGCCCCCACCCGCAGCCAGCCCUCUUUUGAAGCCUAGGCAAGCUUAUCUCCUGGACAGGGUUCAGGCCCCCACACACUCCCUCCACAUUCCAGCCUCAUGUCCUUGUUCCUCCUGUUCAGCACCCUGACAUCUUAUCUUUCACAUUCCAUUUGCCUCCCCAUUCCCCAGACGUUUAACAGCAUGGGGUCAAUCUCCACCACCACCCUGUGAGGCUGCAAUGCAUUCAUCCAUCCUUCCACCCAUCCAUUCGUUCAUGCAUUUUUCCAUAUAGUCACCCAUCUAUCCAUCCAUUCAUCAACAUUCACUAGAGCUCACUCUGUGCGUAUGUCUGUGCUGGCUGCCAGGGACCCAGAGAUAAAUCAGAUGCCAGCCUUCAGAGUACCCCAGGCUAGCAUGCGCACGUACUGGCUUACAGUGGCAUGGACAAAAUGCUGCAGGAGCACAGAGGAAGACCUUGAUUCUCCUGGUCUAACCCCCAGGUUUACAAAUAGGGAAUAUCAAUUAUCACCUCCAUUAUACAGACAGGGCACAACAGAGGCCACGAUGUCAGAGCUAAAAGGCCCUUGGGGGACUCUAUUAGGGACAGCAAGCACAUGGUGUGUGUAGCAUCACUCCCUGCAUCUCAAGACCAUGGCAGACAUUACUAAUCAAACAAGCAUCUUUCUCAUGAAGCCGAGGCUCCUCUGAAUCAAUGUCAGUUCUCUGUUCCAGGCAGCCGUACCCGGCAACUGGAGUUGGCAUUUGCAUCAUCAAGUCCAGUCUUGGAUGGGGGAGUGGAGACUGACAGGCUCAGAGGCACUGAAGGUCACUGUGAGUUAAUCUCCUGAGUUGUUCUCAGAGGGAUCUGACCACAGAAGGGUCAUGCCAGAAUUUACUGUGUGCAGCUCCAACCUGCCUCCCUGCACCUUCAACAGAAGAACUUUUGCUGUCUCUGCCUUCUGCGCCCUAAUGGCAAGGGAGGAGGCAUGAUCCUCAGCUGAAGAAAUCCAAGAGGCAUUGUGGCAGGUGGCUUUUUGGCGGACCCCAUAAAUUACCAAGUGGAUUAGGAAGGAUACAUAAGCCGGAAGACGCCAGGCCCACACACAGUAACAGGCCCGGCCUGGACGUAUUUCAUUUCUGAUCACACUGGACCGAGCAAGAAUUAUGGACAAAGUCCAUAAACCUAAGCACUGUGCCUGAUAAUUUACACUGCCCACUGUCAUUUUUAAUGCAUGGUGUCUGCUUCUCUCCAACCUGGGAACACUAAAUCUGGCCACUUGAAGAACCACUUCACGCUACAAUAUGCCAGGAGUCUUUUUCCAGAUUUGGUUCUCAUGGAUCAUCUGCACCCACCAGGAGCCCUGAGUCCCCACCCGUAACCCUGCAGGGGGACUCAACAAGUGGUUGAAUCUGGCAGAGCAGGCACUGGACACGUGGCCUGUAUGUUACGCAUCAAAUCUACAAGCACAAGUGCCCAGAUCCAUACCCCUUCCCUCUAAAGCCCCAUCACAUUUUAGGCAUUAGAAGGAGUUGAGAGACUUUGGAGUCACAUGGACUUGGAUUCAAGUCCUAAUCCUGCCACUUAUGAAUGGCAGGACUUUGCAUGAGGCAUUUAAACUCUCUCAGCCUCAGGGCCCUCAUUUGUAAAUGGGCUACCAGCUCUGCUUCAUGGGAUCGUUGUGGGAGCCCGUGCUGAGAAUAUAUAUGCGACCCGUAACACAGCUCAUGGCAUCCAGUGGCCCUUAAACACAGCAGUUAUUAUCAUGGGUAGUGUCCAGACACAGGAUGAUAGACUUGCCUUCUGUGGCCUCAAUAAGCCAUCCUCAGGCCAAGGUCCAUAGAGUCCCCUGCUGAACACAGAGGAUAGACUCUGUAUGUGGUGGGUGGGUGGAUGGAUGGGUGGAAUGAAUAGGUGGAAGGAUGUUUGAAUAGAUCCUAUUUAUGGCACAGAAAACAUCAAGGCAGGGAUUUGAGAGGGCUCAAAUUUGGUCUCCCUGAUGUCAGCCUCAAAGGUAACAUUUCCUGCUCCCCUCAGUAACCCAUUGCUCAUCCACACUAGAGAAGCUAAGAAUUUCCUUAAAUCCUUCCCAAACCUAUUUAGACCCUCAGCAGGCCUACCUAAAUCCUGCCUGCCUCCUGCCUUGUUCUGCCACAUCCAGUCUGAAACCCUUAACUUGGCACUCAAGGUCACUAGGACCAGGCCCACCCUCGUAUCCCCUGAGCUGCACACAGCACGGUGUACUGUUAGGGACAGAGAUGGCCCUGAGGAGUGUUGGAAGCAGGGCUCUGGACUCGGCCACUAGAGCCGAGGCACCUGGGGAAGGAUGCCCUGACUGCAAGGGGUGCUGGGGACUGGGGACUGAGUGCUGGGUCCUUCCAGGCUGUAGAGCUGCUCAGGGUCUCAGGGUCUAGGCUAGCCCAGCCCGUGGGCAGCAUUCCUUCCCAGCAGUUUUUUUUUUUUUUUUUUUUUUUUUUGAGACAAAGUCUCACUCUGUCGCCCAGGCUGGAGUGCAGUGGCAUGAUCUUGGCUCACUGCAAACUCUGCCUCCCACUUCAAGGAAUUCUUCCACUUCAGCCUCCCUGGUAGCUGGGAUUACAGGCACGCACCACCACAUCUGGCUAAUUUUUGUAUUUUUAGUAGAGAUAGAGGUUUCACCAUGUUGGCCAGGUUGGUCUCGAACUGCUGACCUCAGGUGAUCCACCUGCCUCGGCUUCUCAAAGUGCUGGGAAUGCAGGCAUGAGCCACCGCGCCUGGCCCUCCCCAGCUUUAAUGGAAGGCUGCACCUUGUCCCACCGUCUGAGCCAGAUGCCCAGGGCAGCUCAGGGCAGGGCCUUCUGCGUAUCUCCUGUGGUCACUUGACACACAGUGAAUUGCUUUUCAAGAACUCAGGCAGGAAGCAGUCCAAGGGGAGCCACUGCCUCAUGACGAGUGACAUUCGUAAGGUUCGAUCUUCAUUCUGCACAGGCGGGACUUGGCCUGUCUGGCGUAGGGAACUGGAGGCAGUGGCACACUCUGGGCCACCACAGCACUGUGGUACUGGGCAGGGCGCCGAGCUCCCCGGCCCUGCCAGGCCUCCUGAAUGAGGCCAGGUGGGGCUUCACUGGGGAGAGGUGUCAACAGGGAUACAGGUGCUAAGGUGCCCUGGAGGAACCAAGUGCCAGCUGCCCGCUGCUAUUCUGACACUUAGUUUCUUCCUUUCUAAAUGAGUGCAGUGGCCACUCCCACUUUACUGUAUUAUUCUGAGGAUUAAACAGACAAAAGGCAUAACAAUAAUAAUGGCUUGUAUUGGUCCAGCACUCCACAGUUAACAGAGCCCUUUUCCUUGCCAGGAACACAAUUCAGUGAGUACUUCCGGCUCUCCUGUCAACUGCUACCUAAAUUUCCACCUGAGAUUUACCUGCCUUCAUCCUCCGCCUGGAUUGCUCCCUCUCGCCCCUUCCCGGAGGGGCAGUGCUUUGUGCCCCAAGGGGAGGCAGCAGCCAGGGCGCUUUCCUGCCGCUCUCCUUCCCAUCCUUGCUUGAAGGCAGGUUUAGUGAGGAGCUGAGGAGCGGGGAGGUGCUGGGGGAGGGGGACCGGGGAUGCCACAGAGGAAGCCGGCUUUCCCGCCCGGACAAGAUAGGAGAAAGGGAGAUGUCACACCCCAAAGUGUCUUGUGAUACUCCCCACAACCACCCCUAGGUAGAUACAGAUCAAUACCCUCAUUUCCAGCAGCGGAGGGGUGGGGUGCUGAGACUCAGAGAGGGCAAGAAGCAUAUCCCAGCCACAAGGCUAGGAGGUGGCAAAGCGGUGUCCAAAUCCAUUCUGUCUGGGUCUUGGCUAUGUGGCUAGAUGGGUGAGUGGGGAGUGGUUGGGUGGGGGACGGUGAAUGGAUAAGAUUUGGAGGGUUCAGGUUAAGCCAUAAGUUAAUAACAAAACAAAAGAUUGAAUCAGGCUUCGUCCCUGAAGUCCAGGGCUGCUCCCGGCCCUCUCCAUUCUGGGCUCCACGUAGCCUCUGAUCAAGGGCAGGGGAGGGUUUUACCUGGGCAGAGUCUCCGGAAAGCCCAGGGUGGAGUAUGGGCAGAAUAACAGUAUAGGAGGUUGACUUCCUUCACCCCUGUCCAUGGAAGGGCUCCCCCUCCUCCUGUCCUCACCCUGCUCUCCGUGUCCCUGGAGGUGUGAGGGCACAGCUGGGGCGCCAUCUGGCAGCAAAGCUGUAGUGGGAAGUCCUGCCCGGGUGGAAUCUGUAUUAGCAGGCUCCGAGCCUCUGGAAUAGUCACAGCACUACUUCUGUUAGAGCAGAGGAAGGCCGCCUGGUGGGCGGUGGAGGGGGCAAGAGUGUGUGUCCCCUGGGAGUCCUGGAGUGGCCCAACGCAGAACUGUUUCCCUUGCCCGGCCGGCUGCUGGCAGCUGCUCAUCAUCAAAGGCUCGGGCUCCUCCAUUAUUCACCAGGGCCCGGGCUCCCACAGCCCCCCCAUCCCCCCGCCAUUCCACACGCACUUGGGCCCGCUCCUCUCCGGGCUCCUCUUGUCCCUGGAGCUUUGCACAUCAAACGCUUCUCUUUCUCUGUGCCUUGUUUCAUUUUUAAAUAUACUCAUCUCCUUCCUCAUCUCCUAGUCCAUCUGCAGGGACAGCUUUUCCUUGCAGUUGCUCAAGCCAGAAACCUUGGGAUCAUCCUAGAGUUCUCUGUCUCUCCCACCCACACCCAUCCACCAAGUCUGGGGGCUCCCACUUCAGAUUCCAGUAUCCACCACAGCUCCUUCCUAGGCCCCAGCGCCACCCCCAGGCCUGGACCCUCAUCCGCUCUGUUCUCCCAGCUUCCGCCCAAGGCCCCGGUAGUCCCCUCUCAGCUCAGUGGCUGCCGGAGUGAGCUGUUCAGACCCGGUUAGAUCACGGCUCCCCUGCAUGGCCCCCUGCUCACUCCUGACUGUGGCUCUCAGCCAAAACCCACCCCGCCGCCACCGGAUGAACUCUGCUCCCAUCUCACUGGCCUCCUGGCCGCUCCUGGUACCUGCUAGCAUGCUCCCACCUCAGGGCCAUCCUGGGGUAUUCUACAUGGAUAUCCGCCAGGCCCACCCACCACUCUCUUCAAAACUGCACCCUGCCUCCCAGCGUCACACACCCCAUCUCCUUAACAUGCUCUCCUUUUUCCUUCACUCGCAGUCAGAGCCUUCUAACAGCUACACAGUUUAUUCAUGUGCUAUGACUGUUGUUCAUCGUCCCCUGCUUAAGCUCAACAGGGGCAAAGAUUUCUGUUUGUCUUAUCCAUCUUUGUAUCUCAAAGCCUAGCCCAGUGCUUGGCACGUUGUAAGCACUCGAUAAAUAUUUGUUGAAUGAGGCAGGGCACAGUGGCUCAUGCCUGUAAUCCCAGCACUUUGGGAGGCCAAGGUAGGUGGAUCACCUGAGGUCAGGAGGUUGAGACCAGCCUGGCCAACACGAUGAAACUCCGUCUCUACUAAAAAUACAAAAAUUAGCUGGGCCUGGUGGUGCAUGCCUAUAAUCCCAGCUACUAGAGAGGCUGAGGCAGGAGAAUAGCUUGAACCCAAGAGGCAGAGGUUGCAGUGAGCGGAGAUCGUGCCAUUGCACUCCAGCCUAGGCGACAGAGCGAGACCUCAUUUCAAAAAAAAAAAAAUUGUUGAAUGAGUAACAUAAAGGUUAUUAGAAAAGUUCUCACUGUACAAGUAACCCACCAUGCUGUAAAAUGUAAGGAAAACAGAAAAGAAAGAAGAAAAUUAAAAUGAUUACAGUCCUAUCACUUAAACACAGCUUCUCAUUAAUAUUUGGGGAUAGUGUCUUCUAGUUCUUUUUAUUAAAAUUUAUAUAACAGGUACCAUGAAUUGCUUGUCUACUGCCUUCCAGACACUAUCCUAGGCCAUUUCCAAAUAGCAUCCUAUGCUUUUUUUACAAUAAGCCAUGUGGUAGGUGUUACACCUAGUUUUCAGAUGAGGAAACAGAGAUCCCUAGAGAGAUGAUGAAAUUUGCUCGAGUUUAUUUAAACAGUUGUCUUAACGAUUGUGUUAGUACUGGAUGUAGCAUUUUUUUGUCCUACCUUUUCCACUUAAUUAUUUGGGGCCGGGCGUGGUGGCUCACAUCUGUAAUCUGAGCACUUUGGGAGGCCAAGGCAGGUGGAUCACUUGAGCCCAGGAGAUGGAGACGAGGCUGGGUGACAUGGCAAAAUCCCAUCUCUACAAAAAAUACAAAAAUUAGCCAGGUGUAGGGGCACACGCCUGUAGUCUGAGCUUACUCGAGAGGCCGAGGCAGGGGGAGGAUCACCUGAGUUCGGGAGGUCAAGGCUGCAGUGAGUCGUGAUCACACCAUUGCACUCCAGCCUGGGCAACAGAGUCAGACCCUGUCUCAAAAAAAAUAAAAAUAAAUAUUGGAUCAUGAUAAUGUCCUAUGUCAUUAAAACUGUUUGCAAACGUAAUUUCUAAUGACUACAUGACACCUUUGCGAAGAGGAUAUACUACCAUUUCCUGAACCCAUCUCUUAUUGUUUAGAAUUGUUGAUAUUCCUAACCCUUUAUUAUCAUAAAUAAAUGAAUAUUCUUAAACACAACGCUUUUCCCACAUUUCUGAUUAUUUCCUUCAUCCAGAUUUCCAGAAAGGAAAGACCCAUGGGAGAAGUUGUACAAACUUCCGAAAACUCUCUGCAUGCCUCUGCCAGCAAUGCGUGUUGUUGACUGCAGUGGACGGGUUCAGAUCGUGUGUGCUGGGGUGACGGGGGAAGCAUCUAAGGUGUUUUUCCGUGGUGCUUUUGUCCUACUCAUGGACUAGAUCAGCUCAUGUUUCUCCGUGCAAAGCCCUCGUUUGUUAUUGAAGCCCCAGCCCUCGGUGUGGCUGCAGCCAAUGCCUCUGGCCUGUUGCAUUAAUAUUGCAGGCAGGGCUCCUGAGGACCUAAAUAUUUGAUCAGAGUGUGUGCCAGGCUGCUAGUGAGCUGUAUUCAGAGCAAAUU
rnacentral:lncRNA from 1 species